GUGAAGUUCUGAAGCUUUUUAUUUUGGCAAAUGGUUUGGGGUAAAUGACCAGUCAAUUGGUUUUUGUCUAGUUGAAGCACAGACAGGUUUGGGAGACUUGCUAUCUGUUCAGGAAUUGGCCCGGAGAGUUGGUUAACACGGAGAUACAAAUAUUUUAACUCUUUCAAAUUACUCAAGGAAGUAGGAAUAGAACCAUUAAGUUGGUUUUCACUCAACUCUAGAUCAAUCAUAGACUUCAAGUUUCCCAACUCAUUAGGAAUGGGGCCAGAGAGCUUAUUUUCAUAGAGAUGAAGAAGGGUGAGACUUGUCAAAUUACCUAGUGUUGCCGGAAUUGGGCCAAAAAGACUGUUUCUAUAAAGGCUUAGGGAGUUGAGAGACUUCAAGUUUCCAAUUUCUUGGGGAAUUGA
rnacentral:misc_RNA from 1 species